rnacentral:rRNA from 1 species
UUUGAGUAUAAUUUAAAGUAGGGCCUGCCCACUGAAUAUUUAAAGGGCCGCAGUAUUUUGACUGUGCAAAGGUAGCAUAAUCAUUAGUUUUUUAAUUGAAAGCUUGUAUGAAUGGUUUGAUGAAAAAAUUACUUUCUUUAUUUAAUUUUUAAAUAACUUUAUUUUUAAGUCAAAAAGCUUAAAUAGAUUUAAUAGACGAGAAGACCCUAUAGAGUUUAAUUUUUAUUAAUAGUUAAAUUUUUAGAAUUAUAAAAUUUUAUUUUUAAGAAAAAUUUGAUUGGGGUGAUUAUAAAAUUAAAAUAACUUUUAUUUUAAAUUGUACAUUGAUUUAUGCUUAAAAUCCA